GCGCUCCAGCGUGCUCAGGUGUGUCCGGCUGAGCUGGUCGAUCACCGAGUACACGUCCCGGAUCACCUCCCGCCGGUCCGGCUGACCUGAAGACGCAGGCGCGGUCCAUCAUCCAGAUGAGGGAGGAGCAGUACUCGCAGUAGGUGGGGAUGCUGUACUGGGUGGACUUGAAGAUGUGUCCGUUGUGCUCCUCCACCUGCAGGAGGACCCGGUCAGCUCGGCUCGGAUCAAUUUCAUUAUGAAUAAACUAUUAAAACUCACAA